GCGCGGGUGGCGGAACCGGCAGACGCGCAUCUUUGAGGUGGAUGUGGGAGUAAUCCCGUGGAGGUUCAAAUCCUCUCCCGCGCA
rnacentral:tRNA from 1 species